UACGGGGGGAGCAAGCGUUGUUCGGAUUUACUGGGCGUAAAGGGCGCGUAGGCGGCGCGACAAGUCACUUGUGAAAUCUCCGGGCUUAACCCGGAGCGGCCAAGUGAUACUGUAGUGCUAGAGUGCGGAAGGGGCUACUGGAAUUCUCGGUGUAGCGGUGAAAUGCGUAGAUAUCGAGAGGAACACCUGCGGCGAAGGCGGGUAGCUGGGCCGACACUGACGCUGAGGCGCGAAAGCCAGGGGAGCGGACGGG
rnacentral:rRNA from 1 species